rnacentral:misc_RNA from 1 species
AAGUCGUAACAAGGUUUCCGUAGGUGAACCUGCGGAAGGAUCAUUACCGAACUUUACAAAAAAAAAUCGUAAAAGAUUUUUUGAUGCAAAAGCCCAUGCAUUUGUGAAAAGUCAAUUUUUAUGAUUGACCGAGUAACUUGUUGGUGCUUUUUGCUUUUGCAAGUCUGUCGAACAGUGUGUGACUGAUACUUGCAACGUGGACAAUGACCAUUGAUGUCGGACACGUUAAACGAUGUGAGAAAGUAUUCAAAUGUUUCACAUCACUCUUGCUUUUCUCAGUAUUCGUACUGGGAAUCGCAAAGCUUUUGUAAAUGUAAAUUAUCAUACAAAACCAAAAAUUUAAAAAAAAUAUCAACCUCGAGUGGUGGAUCACUCGGCUCGUGG